rnacentral:rRNA from 1 species
UACGUAGGUGGCGAGCGUUGUCCGGAUUUACUGGGCGUAAAGAGCGCGCAGGCGGUCGUUCAAGUCGGAUGUGAAAGCCCCCGGCUCAACUGGGGAGGGUCAUUCGAUACUGAUCGACUCGAAGGCAGGAGAGGGAAGUGGAAUUCCCGGUGUAGUGGUGAAAUGCGUAGAUAUCGGGAGGAACACCAGUGGCGAAGGCGACUUCCUGGCCUGUUCUUGACGCUGAGGCGCGAAAGCUAGGGGAGCAAACGGG